CUUUGAUUUGUUUCUGGAGUGCCCGAGGAAUAGGGCAAAGGCCGCACUGUUGAGGCUUGAAUUGGUGGAAUUCAAUUCUUGGGAGAGCGGUGCCCUAACAUGGUACGGUGGCUGGAUCGAGCUCACUAUAUUUUUAUCAUCAACACGCCGAGGAGAUCAAUACAACAUGUGUAUAUAAAGUCCGCCAUUUUCAGAAGUUGUAUUGAUCAAUUGGGCGGACAGACGGAGCAAGGAUAAUGGAGUCAAAUCGGUGGAUUAACGGAUCAAGUCAGAACAAAUGAAGGCAGCGCGAGCACCCGUAUAGGAGAUUGAACGCAAACUUAAAAUGAUCCCCAAAGGCGAAGGGCAAGGAGGACUUUUCAAAGGGACGGUUGCCCUAGGGAUCAAGACCUCACGCCUUCCUAUAAAUGGAAAUAGGAAGGAGGCAGCACUCAUCAGAUAUUCAGCUCUCUCCUAGGGUUGAAAUGGGUGCUCACAACACUCUACAUUCCCGAUCUUCCGUCAACACACUUGGUUCUUGGUUUUUAGUCUAGUGGUGGUUGGGUGUUGGUUUGUUUUUACAUUUCAGCUUGUGUAACACCGUCCCAAGAAGGGACGAAGAUACAAUCUCUAAUUUUCAUGCUUGCUACGUUUUGUUUUAAGUUUCAACUUGUCGUUUAUC